GCCUGACUGGCUCAGUCAGUGGAGCAUAUGACUCUUGAUCUUGAGGUCUUGAGUUCUGGCCCCACGUUGGGCA
rnacentral:tRNA from 1 species